rnacentral:rRNA from 1 species
UUGUAAUUUGUAGAAGGUGCUUCGGAUGUAAUAUUGGAACAAGUCCCUUGGAAUUGGGCGUCAUAGAGGGUGACAAUCCCGUUUGGCCGCUAUAUUCAUCCAUGUGAAGCCCUUUCGACGAGUCGAGUUGUUUGGGAAUGCAGCUCAAAAUGGGUGGUAGACUUCAUCUAAAGCUAAAUAUCAGCCAGAGACCGAUAGCGCACAAGUAGAGUGAUCGAAAGAUGAAAAGCACUUUGAAAAGAGAGUUAAACAGCACGUGAAAUUGUUGAAAGGGAAGCGCUUGCAACCAGACUUGCUUGCAAUAUUCAGCCUCCUGAAAAGGCGGUGCACUUGUUGCUUGCAGGCCAGCAUCGGUUUUGACGGUUGGACAAAAGCUCAAGGAAAGUAGCUUUGCUCGCAAAGUGUUAUAGCCUGAGCAUAAUGCAACCAGUCGAGACCGAGGAACGCGCUUCGGCGAGGAUGUUGGCAUAAUGGUUGUUAGCGGCCCGUCUUG